CCUCUAGUUAUAUCCUUAACUAUAUUUAUAGUUUCAUAUCCUAUUAUCGAGCGAAAGGGAAACUAGAAGUUUUAGUUUUCCACGUUCCUUAUUCAGUUUUUGGGCCCUGGGAAUCGAGAGACGGCCCUUCUUUCACCCUUUUGGAGGCUCUCAAUAAAAAUAUCUCUGGGUUUUGUCCCCCGUUAUUGUCAAAAGAGUUGAUUUCCGUUGAAGAUGUGUGUGACGGAAUGUUAUCGAGUAUGAUAUCACGAAGCUAUACAAAAGGCUUCAAAAAUUUAAGUAGCCUUGCGAAGCGAGGAUCCGAAAUAGUUGUAAGCUUGAGCCAGCUGGGCGCUCACUCAAACUUUUUU